rnacentral:rRNA from 1 species
AAGAUUAGAGACCUUUUUACUAAAUUUGAAAUUUUUUCCAUGGUUUUAACUAAAAGGAUUUGGCAGCCGAUGAUUCUCAUCCGGGGGAGUGUGCUUUUUAAACAGAUAGUACACUGAGUAGUUUACCAGAUUUAUUUUAGUUAGUGUAUAUCCGGUUUAAUAUUUGUGAUUAAUUUCUUUAAUAAGUGAAUAUAAUAGAUUUAAGCCAGGUCGAUGUGCUGCUAAUAGUCUGGGUAAUUGUGCAUUACAUUAAAAAGGUUGGUUUUGUAAAUUUAGAGUAGUUGAUUAAGGACUCGGUAGUAGGAUUUUUUAAGUUUGAAUUUUCGAAUAGGAUUUAGUUGGGGUACACACCGCCCGACACCCUCGAUA